UGGGGAAUUUUGGACAAUGGGGGAAACCCUGAUCCAGCCAUCCCGCGUGUGCGAUGAAGGCCUUCGGGUUGUAAAGCACUUUUGGCAGGAAAGAAACGUCAUGGGUUAAUACCCCGUGAAACUGACGGUACCUGCAGAAUAAGCACCGGCUAACUACGUGCCAGCAGCCGCGGUAAUACGUAGGGUGCAAGCGUUAAUCGGAAUUACUGGGCGUAAAGCGUGCGCAGGCGGUUCGGGAAGAAAGAUGUGAAAUCCCAGAGCUCAACUUUGGAACUGCGUUUUUAGCUACCGGGCUAGAGUGUGUCAGAGGGAGGUAGAAUUCCGCGUGUAGCAGUGAAAUGCGUAGAUAUGCGGAGGAACACCGAUGGCGAAGGCAGCCUCCUGGGAUAACACUAACGCUCAUGCACGAAAGCGUGGGGAGCAAACAGG
rnacentral:rRNA from 1 species